UACGUAGGGUGCGAGCGUUUGUCCGGAAUUAUUGGGCGUAAAGAGCUUGUAGGCGGUCUGUCGCGUCUGCUGUGAAAAUCCGGGGCUCAACCCCGGACUUGCAGUGGGUACGGGCAGACUAGAGUGUGGUAGGGGAGACUGGAAUUCCUGGUGUAGCGGUGAAAUGCGUAGAUAUCGUAAGGAAGACCAGUGGCGAAGGCGGGUCUCUGGACAGUUCCUGACGCUGAGGCACGAAAGCGUGGGGAGCGAACAGG
rnacentral:rRNA from 1 species